ACAGAAAUUCUCUGCGAAAUGCUGUCAGUGUGAAGCAUCCAUGAAUAACAGAAGGUCAUAAAUCAAGGAACUCAGAAGAAACAAGAAAUGAUGAGUAUCAAGUUUGUCUUCACUUUGCUUCUAGCACUGGCCCUUCCAGGUUCCAGGAGAGCAGGCUGGAUCAGACCUCAGGAGACAGAGAUGUCUGUAACAGAGGGGAAAUCUGUGAACCUCCUUUGUUAUUAUGAUGCCUCAACUGGGGGUGCUGUUGAUCUCUACUGGUACCGACAGUACCCAAACCAGGCACCUGAAUAUAUCCUCUACAGAGGGUGGGGAUACACUGGAAAAGGAGAUGCCAGUUUUGCCGUAGAGAGGUUUUAUUCAAAGAGUGCAGCAGACACGACAAAUCUGUACAUCAGAAACCUGCUUCUUGCAGACACAGCCACAUAUUACUGUGCGCUGAGAGAUGCACAGACAGCAUACCUCACCAGGAAGCCAUACAAGAACACCAGCGCACGAGAGGAAGGACGAGAGUAA